rnacentral:rRNA from 1 species
AUUGAACGCUGGCGGCAUGCCUUACACAUGCAAGUCGAACGGUAACAGGUCUUCGGAUGCUGACGAGUGGCGAAAGGGUGAGUAAUACAUCGGAACGUGCCUAGUAGUGGGGGAUAACUACUCGAAAGAGUGGCUAAUACCGCAUGAGAUCUACGGAUGAAAGCAGGGGAUCGCAAGACCUUGUGCUACUAGAGCGGCCGAUGGCAGAUUAGGUAGUUGGUGGGAUAAAAGCUUACCAAGCCGACGAGCUGUAGCUGGUCUGAGAGGACGAUCAGCCACACUGGGACUGAGACACGGCCCAGACUCCUACGGGAGGCAGCAGUGGGGAAUUUUAGACAAUGGGCGCAAGCCUGAUCCAGCAAUGCCGCGUGCAGGAUGAAGGCCUUCGGGUUGUAAACUGCUUUUGUACGGAACGAAAAGCCCCGGGUUAAUACCCUGGGGUCAUGACGGUACCGUAAGAAUAAGCACCGGCUAACUACGUGCCAGCCGCCGCAGUAA